ACAAACUUGGUCAUUUAGAGGAAGUAAAAGUCGUAACAAGGUUUCCGUAGGUGAACCUGCGGAAGGAUCAUUACUGAGGUUAUUAGACUUAGAGAGAUAUUUAGGUCACCUCCCACCCUAUGUAUAUUGAUUUGAUUUUUGUAAGCUAAUAUUGUUGGAAUUUGGGUAUCAAGUUCUCUCAUAUUAGUUUACUUAAAACUCUUUAAAAGAAUCAAUUCAUAAUCCAUCAUUAUAUGAUGGAUAAUUAUACCGAAUUGAUAAAAGCAAAAACUUUCAACAACGGAUCUCUUGGUUCUGGCAUCGAUGAAGAACGCAGC
rnacentral:misc_RNA from 1 species